GACAGAGGCCUCAAGCGUUAGGCGGAAUCACUGGGCUUAAAGCGUGUGUAGGCGGAUCGUUAAGUGUCUUGUGAAAUCCCACGGCUCACCCGUGGAACUGCUGGGCAUACUGGCGAUCUUGGGCCAACUAGGGGCGAACUGGAACAAGCGGUGGAGCGGUGAAAUGCGUAGAUAUCGCUUGGAACGCCAAAGGUGAAAACAGGUUGCUGGGGUUGUGCCGACGCUGAGACACGAAAGCCAGGGGAGCAAACGGG
rnacentral:rRNA from 1 species